UAACUCCAGGCUAGGCUUUUGUCUUGGCUUCGUUUUACCUUCUUACCAAAUCAAGGAUAUGUCUCCAAAGUGAAAACAGGAAUAUAUCUUACUGUGUGAUUAUUUUGGGGUGAAGAACCUUAAGUUUUUGAACAGAAUUGGGUUUUGUUAUGAUAUUUCUCAUUUUAUUUUUUUUUAGUUUUUUAAAUCAUUUUUAUUUUUUAUUAAAGUAUAGUUGAUUUACAGUGUGCUGAUUUCUCUCUACAGCAAAGUGUCUCAGUUAUACACAUUCUUUUUUAUUACUCUUUUCCAUCAUAGUCUGUCCCAGGAUAUUGGUUAUAUUUCCUUGUGCUGUACAGUAGGACCUUGUUUAUCCAUUCUGAAUGUAAUAGUUCCCAGGCUAGGGAUCCAAUAGGAGCUGUAGCCACUGGCCUGAGCCAGAGCCACAGCAACAUGGGAUCUGAGCAGUGUCUGCGACCCACACUAUAGCUCACUAUAGAUCCUUAACCCACUGAGCGAGGCCAGGGAUUGAACCUGUGUUCUCAUGGAUGCUAGUUGAGUUUGUUAACUGCUUAGCCCCAUUUGUGCCAUAUUUUAGAGUCCACAUAUAAAGUGGUAUCGUAUGGAAUUUGUCCUUCUCUUUCUGACUUACUUCUCUUAGUAUGAGAAUCUCUAAUUGUAUCCAUGUUGCUGCAGAUGGCAUUCUUUUUUAUGGCUAAGUAGUAUUCCAUUGUAAAUAUGUGCCACAUCUUAUUAAUCAGUCCAUCUAUCAGUGGACAUUUAGGUUGUUUCUAUUUCUUAGCUAUUGUGAGCAAUGCUGCAGUGAACAUAGGGUGGCGUGCAUGUAUCUUUUUGAAUUAUAGUUUGUUCAGAUAUAUGUCCAGGAGUGGGAUUGCUGGAUCAUAUGGUAGUUCUAUAGUUACCUGAGGAGCUGCAUGCAGAAGUUCAAGGACUAGGGAUGAAUCUAAGCCACAGCAUUGACCCCAGCCACUGCAGUGACAACGUAAUAAAUGUGCCAGGCACUACAAUACAGUGACAAACAGAAUACGGUCCUUGAACAUUUUCCUUUUUCAGGACAAGAUCUUGCAGUAUUGCUGUAAUGUAUUGAUACCAUGAUAUUAUAUGUGGUUCUCACCAAACUUGUUCUUAAGAUAUAGUAGAGAUUUCUGAAGAACUGUCUCAGGAUGUGUUAUUUUUUUGCCAGAGCAAAUCAAUUCUAGGAAAAAAUCUCUAACUUGAAGAAUCCUUGUUGUGUGCCUAUGAUUUAACCAGCAGUCCAUUGCACAGUUAAUCCUUUGUGAUAUCAGUGGGUUAAGUUCUCUGUUCAAAUAAAAACCAGCAUUCUGCUACCUGUGCCUUCUAUCAGAAGGAAUAUUCAUUCCUUCAUUCAGCUUGUAUUGGUUGUAUACAGUCAUCCCUCCAUAUCUGUAGGUUCUGAAAUUUUGGAUUCAGCCAACCACAAAUCAGAAAUAUUUUGGGGAAAAAUUCUAAAAAGUUCCAAAAAGCAAACAUGAAUUUGCUUCACGUUAUCAACUGUAUAGUAUUUACAUUGUAGUAUUUACAACUAUUUAUAUAGCAUUUACAUUAUUAUAUAUUGUAAGUACUCUAGAAAUGAUUUAAAUUAUAGAGAAGGAUGUUCUUAGAUUAUAUGCAAUUACUAUGCUAUCUUAUAUAAGGCACUUUAGCAUCCCUUGGUUUUUGGUAUCUGUGAUGGGACUUAGAACCAGUCCCCCACAGAUAAUGAGGGAGAACUGUAAUUACUUUGCCAAGUAAUGUACUAAGCCAAACAGUUCAGUAACAGUGAGUAAUAAUAGUCAAAAAUCACUGCCUUCAUGGUGCUCACUUUCUAGUAAGUGGUAAGACAGAUAUUAUAGAAAUGGAUGUGAUGUCAUAGCAUUUCAGUGAUUAGUGUUAUAAAGGAAAUGUAAACAUGUAAGGGGAUGUUAGGUAGUUAGGGAAGUCCUUUGAGAUAGUAGUAUUUGUGCAGAGAUCUGAAUGAUAUGAAGGACCCCAUGAAUGUAUCUUGGACAUAAGCAUUAGUGCCGAGUCAGUGGUGUGUUUAGUGUGUCUAAGAAAUAGGAAAGAGCUGGAACAGAGUGAACAAUGUGGGGAAGAAUAAUAGAAAAUAGGGAGAAGAGGUAGCCAGGGUCUAGAUAAUGUAGGGACUUGACUAAGUGUCUAGGUUUUAUUUUCCAUUUGAGAGGAGGUUAUUGGAAGGUUUCGAGAAUGGAGGUGAUUUGAUCUUAUAUAUGCUUUAAAAGGCAAGAGUGAUGCAACCAGAGUGACUGGUUAGGAGGCAGUUGUAAUAUUUGAGGCAAGAGAUGAUUAUGGGUUGAACCUAAAGUGUUACCAGAGGGAUGGAUUUGGGAUAUGUUUUGAAGGUCAUAGAGAUGAUAACCUGGAUUGGAUGUGAGGUCUGAGUAUAAGAGUUAAGAAUGACUCUAAUGAUGGCCUUAACAGUUGAAUACCAUUUACUGAGAUGAGGAACACUGGGUGAGACAGGUUGGGGGGAUGCAGAACUUAAGGGUUUGGUUUGGGUAUAUUGACUUUGAAUUUUCUGUUAAAUGUUUCAGGUUGAGAUAUUGAGUAGGCUGUUGGAUGUGUAAGUUUCGAGGUCUGGGCAAAUAAAAAUUUGGGAGCUGAUCAGUGUAGAGAUGCUAUUUAGAGCCCUGAGACUUCUUGAGAUUAUGUGGAUAGUGAAUGUAGAUAGAGAAGAGAUGAAGUUCUUGGACUGAGUUGUGGAGUAUUCUUGACACAAUAAAAAAUGCCAGAGUUGAAAGAAUCUUUUGAUAACUUCAGGAGUAAUACUUUGCUGAGAAAGAAAACCCAACAGGUGCUAACUAGUCAAGACAUAGAGACAAAAAUAAAAUGGUUGAGGAACAAAUUGCCUUUUUUUUUUUUUUUUGUCUUUUUUCCUUUUCUAGGGCUGCUUCCCAUGACAUCUGGAGGUUCCCAGGCUAGGGGUCUAAUUGGAGCUGUAGCCGCCAGCCUGUGCCACAGCUCAUGGCAAUGCCGGAUCCUUAACCCACUGAGCAAGGCCAGGGAUCGAACCUGCAACCUCAUGGUUCCUAGUCCGAUUCGUUAACCACUGCACCACAACGGGAACUCCACAGAUUGCUAUUUUUUAAUCUAUUAAAUAGCUCUUUGUGUCACAGAGACCACAAAACUUAUUUUAUAUGAAAUUAAGGACCAGAGUACCUAUUUCUACUUGAUUACUAUGAAAAGAUGGCCAAAGUGGUCAUUACCUUCCUAGAUAUCAUUGUGGUAGGCAACAUAAGAUAAAUUCAAGUUUAUAAAAUGAACGAAUGAGAGGAGUUCUCUUGUGGUGUGGUGGGUUAAGGAUCUGGUGUUGUCACUACAGUGGCUUGGGCUGCCACUCUGGCGUGAGUUCCUUCCCUGGCCCAGGAACUUCCACUUGCUGAGAGUGCAGCUUAAAACAAAACAAAACAAAAACAAAAACAAGAGAGAUUUCAAAAGACAUGAUGCCGCUUACUCAUUAACAUGAUAACUGUUUCUAGAUUUGAAAAUUUAUAGUGUAAGUGAGAUGAAGCUGUCUCCUAAUUAUUUAUCCUAUCAUCGGGCAUUGUUAAACCUUCCUUUAAAGAAGCUGAUUUUUUGGAGUUCCCACUGUGGCUCAGUGGAAGUGAAUCCAACUAGUAUCCAUGAAAAUGCAGGUUAGAUCCCUGGCCUCGCUCAGUGGGUUAAGGAUCUGGUGUUACCAUGAAUGUAGUGCACGUCUCAGACAUGGCUCUGAUCCUGUGUUGCUGUGGCUGUGGCUAGGGCUGGUAGCUACGGCUCAGAUUUGACACCUAGCCUGAGAACUUGCUUAUGCAGUGGGUGUGGCCCUAAAAAGAAGAAAAAAAAAAAA
rnacentral:lncRNA from 1 species